AAGAAGAAAGGCAGAAAAAAAACGGAGUAAAAAAAAAAAAAAGGGAAAGGAAGGUUGUCGUGUUGCCUUUCUCUCUAUAGUUUGAUUGCAAAGAAAAGUAUCGAGAGAGAGAGGGAAUACGAUUUUGAUGAUAAAAUGAUGAUGAAAUUGAUGAGAAUUUUUCGUCGGUUGGAGUUUUGAAAUGGGUUUCAUUAUUGGAUUGCUGAGUUUGGAUAUCGCCAACGACAGCUAUUAUUUCAAGAAGCUACUACCGUUGAAACGUCGCUGCUUUCGGUUGGGAUCCAAGUUUCUUGUUGGGGUCGAGUCAAUACCGUCGGGGGAGUUCGCUUCUCCUUAUUUGCGCUUCUUCAAGCGCGCUUCAUGACCAUGAUCCCUUCCCCACAAAUCUCUCUUGGAUCUCGCUCGCAGAUCCACCCCCACCGCCACCAUCACAACAACAAAAACAACUCCCUAGCCUUUGUUUUUCUUCCCGAUGGAUCCCACUUCUCGCCCUGCUGUCGUCAUCGACAACGGCACCGGGUAUACUAAGAUGGGAUUUGCGGGUAAUGUAGAGCCGUGUUUUAUUCAACCAACAGUAGUAGCAGUAAACGAGUCGUUUCUAAAUCAAUCAAGAAGUUCUUCAAAAGCAAAUUGGUUAGCUCAGUAUUCAGCUGGGGUAAUGGCAGAUCUUGAUUUCUUCAUUGGAGAUGAAGCACUCGCGAGAUCGCGAGCUAGUAAUACUUAUAAUCUUACCUAUCCUAUUAGGCAUGGUCAAGUUGAUAAUUGGGAUGCUAUGGAACGUUAUUGGCAGCAAUGUAUUUUCAAUUAUUUACGGUGUGAUCCUGAGGAUCAUUACUUUUUGUUGACUGAGAGUCCGCUUACUGCUCCCGAGAGUCGAGAGUAUACUGGUGAAAUUAUGUUUGAGACGUUUAAUGUUCCGGGGCUUUACAUUGCUGUGAAUUCUGUGCUUGCUUUAGCAGCUGGGUACACUACAUCUAAGUGUGAGAUGACAGGGGUGGUAGUGGAUGUUGGAGAUGGGGCUACACAUGUUGUACCUGUUGCAGACGGUUAUGUUAUUGGAAGCAGCAUUAAAUCAAUACCAAUUGCUGGAAAAGAUGUAACUCUCUUCAUACAGCAGCUAAUGCGGGAAAGAGGAGAGAAAAUUCCACCAGAGGACUCAUUUGAAGCAGCUCGGAAAGUGAAGGAGAUGUACUGCUAUACUUGUUCUGAUAUUGUCAAGGAGUUCAACAAGCAUGACAAAGAACCUGCAAAGUACAUCAAACAAUGGAGAGGUAUUAGACCGAAGACAGGGGCACCAUACUCCUGUGAUAUUGGUUAUGAACGAUUUUUAGGCCCAGAGGUUUUCUUUAGUCCUGAGAUCUAUAGCAGUGAUUUUACCACUCCUUUACCAGCUGUAAUAGAUAAGUGCAUUCAGUCAGCACCAAUUGACACAAGAAGAGCUUUGUAUAAGAAUAUAGUUUUAUCUGGUGGAUCAACCAUGUUCAAAGACUUCCACAGAAGGUUGCAGCGGGAUCUGAAAAAGAUUGUGGAUGCCCGAGUUCUUGCAUCUGAUGCUCGGCUUGGUGGGGAAGUAAAAGCACAACCUGUGGAAGUUAAUGUUGUCAGUCAUCCUAUCCAAAGAUUUGCAGUUUGGUUUGGAGGCUGCUGAAUGGCCUUGAAUAUGGCAUUUAUAGUCGGCCACUGUUCUUGCAUUGGUUGAUAUGCAUGUCAUACAAAAGCAGAAUAUGAGGAAUACGGAGCGAGCAUUUGCCGCACAAAUCCUGUAUUUAAGGGGAUGUACUGAGGCAAAUAUCCACUUUUCAGCCGAUUAUUGAAAAAGUAAUCAUCGAUGAUGCUCAAGUGGGUGACUUGGUAUUUCCACUUCCAUCAUGAACAUCAGUUCUUAUCUCUUGUUCCAUCUGUGCUAGGUGCUCAUGUGUAUUGGUUGUAAGAGGUGGUGUAAAACAUGGUAGCCAGUCUCAAUUUCAAUGGUUAAAAAAGGAAAGUUCUUACAUUCAUUCUUUAAUUAGGAGGCAAGGGUCGUCCUCACAGCAGCCCGGAGAAUGCAGUCAAAUUUGUUGCCAGCAGGCUCUGCCAACACUUAAUGGAACAGAUGGAAUAUCAAAUAGUUGGAAAAAAAUCUGCUGAGCUGAAUUGCAUUUUUAGUGUUCAGCUUACUUAGGGUUUUACAUAAAUUUUUUUUUUCUCAUUUUGGGGUGGGCCAGAGUAGGGUGGUUGGUUGUGUUUUGGUGGCAACGGUAAACCCGGUGGUGAUUCUGAGUCUUUGUUCCACCAGUACAUUCUCUGUUAGAAAGCAAGAUUGGAGUUCUAAUUGAGUUAGAAAUUUGUUUUUGUGAUAUUCUGUAAUUGGUAUUAAUCUUUUGUGUAAUAUUGAUCAAGAUGGCAAAAUUUCACAUAUGGUUUCAGCACAUUAUGCAACAAUUAUGAUGUUCUUUUUGUAUGGGAUA